rfam:Triticum aestivum genome assembly, contig: Triticum_aestivum_CS42_TGACv1_scaffold_328379_4BS
CAACUACUUCCUUUGUCCCAAAAUUCUUGUCUUAGAUUUGUCUAGAUACGGAUGUAUGUAGAUACAUCCGUAUCUAGACAAAUCUAAGACAAGAAUAUUGGGACGGAGGGAGUACUUU